GGAAGUGCAAGCCACGAUGAGAAGCUUGGAACUGUCAGCUCCAUGCCCUCUCCAGAGUCCAUGAUUGGUCAUGCCUACAUAAUGAAAGCUCCAUAAAAAUCCCAAAAGUAUAGGGUUCAGAGAGCUUCUGGGUUGGUGAACCCAUGGAGAUUGGGUAGAGUGGCGGGCUUGGAGGGGGCACAGAAGCUCUGCCCUUUCCCCCAGCCCUUGCCCUGUGCAUCUCUUCCAUCUGGCUGUUCCUGAGUUACUCCUUUUGUAAUAAGCCAGUGAUCUACCAAGUAAAAGGUUUCUCUUUCUCUGAGCCACUCUAGCAAAUUAACUGAACCUGAGGAGGGGUCGUGGGAACCUCCAAUCUAUAGCCAGUUGGUCAGAAGUACAGACCACAACCUGGACUUGCGGCUGGCAUCUGAAGCAGGGGCUGGGGGGUGGAAGUCUUCCAGGACUGAGCCCUUUACCUGUGGGAUGGGAUGCUAUUUCCAGGUGUACAGUGUCCGAGCUGAGAUAAAUUGUAGGACCCCAGCUGGUGUCACAUGAUUGCUUGCUGGAGGAACUCCUCCCCCUCCCCCAACAUAUAUCUGGUAUCAGAAGUGUUGUGACUGCGGUGGUGGCAUCAGAGUGAAGGAGACACACAGGAGGACUGGGGUGGUUUUCCGCAACAAUUCCUGACCAGGAUCGUUAAUUCCUUGACAAGGAGGGUAAUGAUGGCUCUCUUAACAAUGGUACUGUGAGGACUGAACGGAAUGAUCUUUGCAGAUUCUGAUCCUGCCGCAGGUUUCUUUGUACAAAUAGCACAGGAGGACACCAGCCCCACGCAGACAGAAGUCCAGGGUCCCGCCCGUCCUCCUGUCCUCAUGCUGGCAGAUAGGAGCCUCUACACUGGAGCCUUUGCGGGGGCCUGGGAACCUUUGGGAGCCUGAGCCACAGCAGGGGCUGGAGCUGGAGUCACAGCUGCAGUCUGGCCCUUGGGCUGAGUCUUGGCCUUGGCCUUUGGCCGGCAGAGCCUGAGACCCUUGGCAACGAACGCUGUGAGAGCAUGUUUCCCAAGCUUGGGGUGAGCAAUGUAGGCAAGUCGAUUGAGCUUGUGGCUCCUGCUCUUUGGGAUCUUGGGCUUAACUUCCUUUAGCUUGAUGAGGCCCUUGGUAGGCCUCGGCACCUACACUCAUGGCCUUGCCAUUGUUAGCCUACACCUUCUUCAGGCACUUCUUAUUGUACUUCUUGGCAACGCGCAUGUGCCUCGGGAACCUGGAUUUGGCUCUUAAAGAGAUUCAUAUCUUUGUGCCUGGGGUUUCUUGAUGCCAUUUCUGGGCCAUUUUCAUGACUGGUUGUGUGUGGUGUGAUUCUUGGACUUGGACUUGGACUUAGCCAUGCCCGCUCCAAAGCCCACAGCUCCCAAAGCUCCUCGGGCUGGAAGAGAAAGAGAAAGACUGGGUAUUAUGUUCUUAUUUAUUCGGGACAGGUGCCUAGGGGUGAGACUGCUGAGCAGCUUGGUAAGAUCCAUAAGUGGGUGCUAUUAAGAAACGACUAACUCUCUUCCAGAGUGGCUGUGUCAUUCCCACUCCUGCCACAACACAAGAGAGUUCCAGUUACUUUGCUACCACGGCCACAUUAAAUCAACUUAAUUUGGAUUCUCAGCUCUCACCCUGCUUGGUAAGGAAGAAAUUUAGCCUUGUCUAUUUUCGGGGCUGUUCCCACAACACAUCACACACACACACACACACAUACACACACAUGUGGGCACACACAUGCACACACACAGUGGGAAAAGAGUGAGCCUGGGCCUUAUGCUGUCUACACUGCUUACCACUGAGAUCCCCCAUUUUCUUGGAUUAUUUGAUGUCAGCCCACCCCACCAAGGCUGACCCACCCCAGCAACUGAGCGUGUUCCCAGAGUCUGAGCCCCACACGGCUGUUCCUCUCCGAGGUCCUUCUGGCUGGGGCACUAGAAGAAAAGCACAGAUUAAGAGCUAAAAAUAUUAGUCUGCCAUAUAUAUAAAGCACUCUGCACCACCCCAGACCCAUAGACGAUGCUCAGUUAAUGUUGUUUCCUUUCCCUUAGGAGAGAGGAAGGUUGUCCUCUCCCCUGUGGAGGUGCAUCUGGAGCCGAAGGCGCGGACAGACUCAGCACAGAGACAGCACAUCUGGCCGGGUUGAGAACCAUCUGCAGUGGCCACUUGACUCCAAGCCCCU
rnacentral:lncRNA from 1 species